GAAUAGCCAAGUGGUAAGGCAGUGGUUUUUGAUACCAUAAUUCAGAAGUUCGAAUCUUUUUU
rnacentral:tRNA from 1 species